rnacentral:rRNA from 1 species
AACGAACGCUGGCGGCAGGCCCAACACAUGCAAGUCGAACGCCGUAGCAAUACGGAGUGGCAGACGGGUGAGUAACACGUGGGAACGUACCCUUCGGUUCGGAAUAACUCAGGGAAACCUGAGCUAAUACCGGAUACGUCCGAGAGGAGCAAGAUUUAUCGCCGAAGGAUCGGCCCGCGUCUGAUUAGCUUGUUGGUGAGGUAACGACUCACAAAGCGGCUGAUCAGUAGCUGGUCUGGGAGGAGAAUCAGCCACAUUAGGACUGGGACACGGCCCAAACUCCUACGGGUGGCAGCAGUGGGGAAUAUUGGACAAUGGGGGCAACCCUGAUCCAGCCAUGCCGCGUGAGUGAUGAAGGCCUUAGGGUUGUAAAGCUCUUUUACCGGGGAAGAUAAUGACGGUACCAGGAGAAUAAGCCCCGGCUAACUUCGUGCCAGCCGCCGCCGUAA